UACGUAGGGGGCAAGCGUUGUCCGGAAUUACUGGGCGUAAAGAGCUCGUAGGCGGUUUGUCGCGUCGUCUGUGAAAACUCGAGGCUCAACCUCGAGCUUGCAGGCGAUACGGGCAGACUUGAGUACUGCAGGGGAGACUGGAAUUCCUGGUGUAGCGGUGAAAUGCGCAGAUAUCAGGAGGAACACCGGUGGCGAAGGCGGGUCUCUGGGCAGUAACUGACGCUGAGGAACGAAAGCGUGGGUAGCGAACAGG
rnacentral:rRNA from 1 species